AUAAUAAGUAUGGCAUAUGGAAUUAAAUGAUCAGAAAAUACCAAGCCUUCAGUGAAAAGCAGAUUCCUAAUGAGCAAUUGUUAAAGACUUCUUAGGGGAAAAGAAAAAUCAUUUUCUUUACGUGAACUUUACGUGAACAUAGCCCUGUUUCUCUAAUAAUUCCAACAUACGGUGUAGCUCACGGUUGGCAUCUAAAAUAGCUUUUGAGAAUAUACAUGACAAAGUGGAGAAAUAUAAGUAACUCGUGUAAAACAAGGUAAAAGCAAUUGCUGGGGGUCAACUCCAGGGGAAAUGUUGGACCAAAAUGUUGGCAAAAAGGGAAACACAAUUCAUCAAGUAUUUCUCAUUUUUCCAUGGGGAGCAAACAUACCAGCUAGGAAGGGGCCAUGAAGGUGUUCCUGCCAUUGAGGUCUGGAAUAAAAAUAUCACCAGCAGUUUGAUUUAGAGCAGAAAAAAUAAGCCCAUAUAGGCUUACACUUCUCUGUUCACUAAUAAACACCAUGGCGUCAAUUCCCUUUAGAAUUUUUUUUCCCCAGAUGUUGUGGCUUUAUGCAUUUUUACCUCCAGAAAGGGUCCAUAGCUUUGAUUGUAUUUCCAAAUGGAUGCAAAACUCCCAAACUGCUAAGCAUCAUUUCUAUAGAAAACACUGAUGAUGCAGUGGGCGGCAUUCUCCAAGCCAUAAAAGCUGCAAUAAAGGCACUAGCAGGUUUCAUAAAGCUUUUUUUAUAUAGGCUUCUUCACAAUGUUGAGGGUCUGACACUAGAUCACUACUCGGUAAGACAAUUUUAUUUAUAUUCCUACCUCCGCCCUGUGUUGCUUUUAUUAGGGGUAGAUGCUCCCUUUUAGUGAUGUCAUAAUAAUGGUAUCUGUUCCGUGCAGUGGUGGAAGCCUGGGUUCUGGAGCCAGACAGGCCGGCUGUACACUCUGCCUUCAGCACCCCCUCCCCGUGUGCUGUGUGGCUGGUUGUUUAAUGUCUCUGCGCCUCCUUUCCUUAUCUGUGAAAUGGGGCUAGUAACAGAUCACACGGCAGCAUGGCCAUGAGAUUUAAAUGAAGAAAGAAAGGCAAAGCAACAUACGGGUGUCUGGCACGUCACACGUGCUCAGGAAGUUGAGAGUCAUUUGUCAUUGUUGUUGCUAUGGCAAUCAUUGCUGGUGUGGUCCUGCCUUUUGCACCUGUCAUGUUGACAUGCCUGAACUGAGUAGGACAUUUUAACACAUCAGGAUCUUUAAAAAGUUGAGUAUUCUAAUAAUGCUUUUGUUCAAAUAUUAGUGGUUAGCCAAUGAGAGAUGUUUAAGAUUAUCCUCACUUGCACAUAACCGAUCUUGAUUUAGGACUGUGCACAUUUUAGCUUUCACAGUCAUUGUAUGUUCGUUCAUCCAAAACCAGAGAGGCUAUAGUAUACAACGGAAAAGACACAGAUGUGUCAACCCAUCUGUCCACUCGAUGUGCCUGUGCCCAGGGAGAGGACACUCAGCACCUAUGAAGGAGAGAUUUGUAGAAGUGUAAAUGCUCUACCAUAGCAUUACUCUCUUGUUUUAAUGAAAAUCAUGGAGAUGUCUGAAUGUCUUCAAUGAACAGCCUUCCCAAGUAGAUGCAACAUUAAAAAAAGAUGACAAAAAUAAGCAUAAAUGCUCAAGUUCUAAAGCACUAGGAUGUCACAAAUGACAGUCUUCGAGAGUUAAGGGAUUGUGAAUUGCAUCUGGUGGUUUUCCUCGACUUUUGCUCAUCUCUCCACAAGCUUCCAUAUCUCUAACGCAGAGCAGCCCUUCUUCUUCCAAGAGGCCGACGAGGACGUCCUGGGGAGCUUGGGCUAUAGGUCCAGGUGGAGGGAGAUGAUGUGUAAAGACUGAACCUAGACCUGCCACCUCUUGCUACCCAUGACCCCUUUUCAUCUGAGAAGAUAAUCCUCCGGGAGUGAAUUCGUGUUGACCUCUAUGUUCUUUGGAUACAUGAAGAAUUUUCCUCUCUAUUAGAACGUAAAAUCUCACAUUCUUGUUGUGUGCAGACAUUCUAAAGUACCCCUGAGUGGUAGGGCUGCCUUCAGGCUUAAUUUGCUAUCAAAUACAUCACCGAGACCCUUUGACUUCUUCUCGCUUUCUCUUUUUAUUUGCUACACUGCUGUCAUUUACAGACAGGCUUUUCCUUAACCUCCUACCAUUUUCUCUGUUCACACGACUGUAACCCCCACAACAGUCCAAGGAUGCAUCUGUCGCGGGGACUUUGCACAGGAUCUUCUCUGUCUGAAGUACUUUUCCUUUAGACAACUUCCUCAUUUCCUCCAGGAGUGUGCUCAGAUUCUCAGAAAGACUUUCAUUUACAUAUUAAAAAGAUUAUCAAUGAGUAAGUGAAAGAGGGAUGUUGUUAACUCAGAUUUUACAUUCCUAGAAAGUCGGGUCCUAUGGGAAAGUUUGAGAAUCUUACUUGAAGGACAAAGUGCAUCUCUAUGAUCCUCACCAGCCCUGCCUGGGUCACACACCCAAACCUGAGCCAAUCCCCUUGGAGAGGAAGUAACACACUGGUUGAGUGAGUCAUGUUAUUUAACUUUCCUCCGUAAGCAGAGCUUGGGUUCCACGCAGGCAGAAAUGAGAGUUUGAGGUGUAUAGUUCUUCAGUGGGAAGGAAGGUAUAGUUACCAGGAAGGGAAUGAGAGUGAAUUUAUCUGCAGAGCAAAAAUAAUGCAUGUCUGUUCCUUUCCCAUGAUAGAAUUUCCAUUUUGUUCCACACUUUGAGUCUGGUAGUUGUUCAUACAAUAUAUUUCUCAAGAAUUAGACCAUCAAACGAACAUACUCUUUUUUCUUAAAGUGUAUAAGUAGGGUCUGUUUAAAAAAUUUUUUGAAAGAUAAAAAUGGUUUUAUAAGUAAAGGAGACCAUGCAGACAUACGGAAAGGAAAAUGUUUUGACAUAUUUUGAAAAGAACUUGUUCCAAGGAAAACAAGAUUGUGAGGAAACCUAGGAAUCUAUUUCUCGUUGCAACUGAAGAGAGGAUAUUGUGAUGAGGAAGACUGCGUUGUCAUGGUGCUUUGCUUUGUUGAGAUCAUGACUCAAUUUGCUGAAGCACUUUGCGAUCAGAGAAUAUGUUCCAGGGGAUAUUUGCAGGGUCUGACCUAACAAAAGCUUGAUAGAUGCAAUACAGAGGAAACGUGUACAAAUCGAUAAGAAAAAGACAAAUCCAGCAGCAUAUAUGUGCAAAAAUGAUUAUUGAGGUGUUAUAUCUGGGGGAUGCAUGCUUGGAGGCAAACUGGGGACCCACCAAUGGGAGAGUAGAGGUAAAAAUGUGAUAUUGGCACACCGUGAAGCACUGAACAGUAGGUAGAAACGAAAAUGCAGAUUUAAAAAUAGCAACACAAAUAGAUGUUUUUAAAAAUUA